CAACCCCUCUAUACCCUUGGGUAUAGGUGUUGAGGCCCUGCGGAAACGCAGCCCUCUAAAGACAUUGGCGGACCUCCUAUGGUAUCCGAGCGCAGUAAUAACAUUCUCGCUCCGGGAACCCGGGACUGGUUUCUUGCCGUAAAACCCCCAAAUUUUUAA
rnacentral:misc_RNA from 1 species